UAACCACCGCCAGUGAAAACGCGAAGAUGGACGCGCACAUCCGCAGAGGAGGGCCGGGGACUAUCGGCGAGAGAAAGUACAUGCAAAGAAAAAGAACGAAGAAGGCACCGUUCGAAUAGGCUUCUCCCUCCGUGCACCCGCUGGCGGACUCUUGCACGCGUGCGUCAGUCGAGAUGACGGCGACGUCGCGACACACGCAACUGCGCGUUUUUCAUCUUCAACCUCUGUCUAUUUUCUUUUUGAGGUGCCCGCGCACGCAUAGCUUAGGCAGCGGGAGACGGAAAGCUCUCUGCCCUUUCCUCCCUGAACACACGCACACAAGCAAUCAGACGCACAGGCUCACGCAGGAGCGGGACACAGCCGAGUUCGUGCCGGCAUCGUUGUUGUUGCUGCUUAGAUAGCUCUGCCAUGCUUGCUUCAGCGUCCACAACCCUUCAGCCCCGGCAUUUUCUGCAUACGCCCGCUCGGUCUCUCGCCCCCUUCUCAGUUCUUCACUGCCUCUCUUCGCUUCCCCAGCACUUCGAGCGAUUCCGAACCCUCCUGCCCUCUCCUCCGCGUUCUCCAGUCGACUUGUCGAUGCGAGCAAGCAAAAAAAAAAAAACAGAGCGCUGCCUCGUGGAGCCUGACCUUUGAAAAAUUUCGGUGGCGCUUUUCAUUUUUCGUCUUCUUCGCUUGCUUGUAUGCGCACGUGUGUGUGCGUGUGUGUGUGUGCCAGUGCUCCUUGCCCAGCUUUGCGCCUGCCUGCUUCUCACGGUGUCUCCCUCUGUGAGAGGGUGUGCACGCAGGCAGCGUGCAUCUGCCGCUGCACUUGGAACGGCCACGACAGGCGGGUGCACUCAGGACAUACAUGAAACACGCGCACGCAUAGACGCGCACGGAGGCGCACCUUUUCGGGCUCGUGGCUAUUCUGUUUUUUCUUCUUCCCCUGGUCACCACAGCCGGGGGUGUUCCUCUCAAGCCACCUUCGCUUCUCUUUGCUUUCUGAUCUCUGCGGCACGCUGGCUUUGCUGCUUACAUGCUUGCUCACGCGGCCAUCACUGCUGUUGCUGCCGUUUCCACGCUGCUUCUCCCCGGCCGCGCCGACGGAGCCGAUAAGGGAUCGGUGUGGGUGCAAAUCCGUCUUUGCGGCCAACCCUCAGCGGCUUCCUCAUACUCCACAGCGUGUCUCCUCGCAACGCUGAUGUAUCCUUUCCCUGAUGUCGUAGAAUCCCAUCUCUCUGGCUUUGCAUACACGACGGCACAGACGUGCCCAGAGCCGUUAGUCAAGGCGAAUUUCGCUUCUCUUGCCCUCCCUCGUUUUCCUCUUCCGCAGCUGGUUGGGCGAGAUCAGCACCACCUCUUCCCCUCCCCAACCACCACAGUCCCCUGCUGAGAACGGAAAGUUUUCAGUUUCGUCGGGGCGGUGCCCAGAGAUAGUGUGUGUGCGUCGAUUCGGUUUUGUUUUUCAAGAUCGGGGUCACGCGUGUGUAUGCACUUCCGCCUGCUCCGUUCAGCUGAUCUCCCACGCUUCUGUCACGGAGUUCGACAUUGGUUCUUUCCUCACCUCUGAUUUCCUUCUCAUUGUGCAAG
rnacentral:misc_RNA from 1 species